UUGGAGAGCGGAGAGUCGCGCAGUGUUUGCUUGCCUCGCACGCCAUUCUCCUGCAAGUUAAGCCGUACAUCCGAUGUAGAAGAUGGGAAGAUGUGAAGGACUUGGGAAUUUCCAGCGGAAACCCUAGAUCGGGUCUCAACACGCCGAGUCCCGACUCGGAUUACAACGAGAUGGAGCGAGUUCAAGGAGACCGGGGUUUUAAGAAAUCAACAACUGUUUCCCUCUAGAAUCGCGAUUCGUGAUCGAUUUCAUUCUCUGGGACAUUGGACGAGGAACAUGUUUUUCGUUCGGAAGGGGUUCAACGUGCUGUCAGUUCAGAGCCAAGACGAAUUCGUCGGGAGGAUUUUUCCGGAGGUACUUUUUCAGGAGAUUCCGUGAUUAGGUAUCUGUGCCUUCUGGGUAGCCAUCAAACCUUGAUGAAGUAUGACUGUUUAAUGGGUUUCUUCAUGUGAACUGCUGCUUGUUAGUUUGUUCUGUGGAUUUACAUUUUCCUGGUGCUGUGCAAAGGGAUCUUUACAGUUCACACCAUCAAUUAGCUUUCACAUUUCAUGCUUUGAUGCUUACUCCACAAUCCUGCAUCAGGAAUUGACCAG